UAUAGAAAAAAAUUUCACAAAAAAGUUUCUGAGAAUUCCCCACAAAAUAAACCAAGCCAUGAGGAGUUAUAUGCAGGGAAGGGGCACCUUGCUGCUGGAAUUAACAAUUUCCGCCGGAAAUUCUAACUUCAGAAGGAAUAUUUUGUGUUUCUGCUGUUCUAGUCCUGAACUUUUUCGAGGUUUAAUACUUCAAAACAUAUUCUAGCAUUUCUGAUCCUCCAGUCUCCAUUCUCGAAUGACUACAGCUAAAAAUCGUAAACUUCCUUUUAGUAUCUGACAAAUGCAUAACGGAAUGAUGUACACAACUUUGGGAAUAUUUGUUCCUUUCCUUGACUCCCCGUUUGAUGGUUCCUUUGUCUAAUAAAAGAUAUUGUUUUCGCAUGAAAACACUGAUUAAUGAUAUACCAUAGCAGAACCUCUGACGCUCUGCCAUACACGAGUUUUUACUGCAGAUACAUCGUUAAUAUUGAUUAUGCUUUGAACACGAGAAGAAGAUGCUAUAAAUAAUGAUUGUAACCCUGUUCGUAUGAUAUAUCUAUGGUGGAUACCUGAGAAAUAUUUCUUCUAAAUUCAUAGCAGCAUUUUGUUUUCUGCAUUGCCUGGAAUAUUUACAAAAGUACUUAACAUUCGACUUGAACUUUGAAAAAUCUUCAGAUAUUGACAAAAGUCAGAAUUGCUGUUGGAAAUAUUGCAGUAGAAGUAUUUGAGACAAUAUAGAAAUAUAUACCACAGAAACCAAGAACUAUAUCACUUGUGGUUGUAUAAGAAAUACAGGACAAUGAGUUCUGUGAAUCAUGUAAAGGAUGGCUUAUUUUCUGAUGAGAUGACAAUAGAAAGA